rnacentral:rRNA from 1 species
GAGUUUGAUCAUGGCUCAGAUUGAACGCUGGCGGCAGGCUUAACACAUGCAAGUCGAGCGGGGAGAUGUAGCUUGCUACAUUUCCUAGCGGCGGACGGGUGAGUAAUGCUUAGGAAUCUGCCUAUUAGUGGGGGACAACAUUCCGAAAGGAAUGCUAAUACCGCAUACGCCCUACGGGGGAAAGCAGGGGAUCUUCGGACCUUGCGCUAAUAGAUGAGCCUAAGUCAGAUUAGCUAGUUGGUGGGGUAAAGGCCUACCAAGGCGACGAUCUGUAGCGGGUCUGAGAGGAUGAUCCGCCACACUGGGACUGAGACACGGCCCAGACUCCUACGGGAGGCAGCAGUGGGGAAUAUUGGACAAUGGGCGAAAGCCUGAUCCAGCCAUGCCGCGUGUGUGAAGAAGGCCUUUUGGUUGUAAAGCACUUUAAGCGAGGAGGAGGCUACUUAGAUUAAUACUCUGGGAUAGUGGACGUUACUCGCAGAAUAAGCACCGGCUAACUCUGUGCCAGCAGCCGCGGUAAUACAGAGG